rnacentral:rRNA from 1 species
UACGGGAGGCAGCAGUGGGGAAUAUUGGACAAUGGGGGAAACCCUGAUCCAGCGACGCCGCGUGAGUGAAGAAGUAUUUCGGUAUGUAAAGCUCUAUCAGCAGGGAAGAUAAUGACGGUACCUGACUAAGAAGCCCCGGCUAACUACGUGCCAGCAGCCGCGGUAAU